rnacentral:lncRNA from 1 species
GAUCUGUCCAAAUUCAAAGCCCGUCAAAGGCAUAUGAAAUCAUGCGAAGGAUUUGAGCCCAUCGAAAUGAUGUUCAGGGGGCUAAACCCAAGUAGCUUUGGCUCAUGAUCCAAGAGACCCGAAACUCGUUAAUCAUGCUAUCCUUACCUUCUAACUAACCUCUUCGAGUUUGCUUACCCUAACACUGAUUGAUUAGGCGUAACUGUUGAAGCAGGUUAUGCAGAGGUUGUUCACACAGGCAAUGUGACUUCACUUUGUAGUUAGUUUGCUCAUUAAACAGGAGUGUAUAGUACUCAACUGCGAAAAACUAAAAAAAUGGUGCUUAUCAUCAAAUUCGUGCCGCAUGGCGAGAUUACUCUACUUCUACUCUAUAAAUAGAAAGAUAUCCAUAACAAUGAUGAUAAAGUUUGCCAUACCUUUCUAAUUGCCCAAUUUGACACUAACACCAUUGGCUACACCACGAGCAUCUUGUGCCUCAAUAUUCACAGUCUUGACGCUAGAGAUAGUUGGGGCUAUGAACUCUAGUCUCUUUGUUGGGACCUCAAUCAAAAUUGUGACUUGCUCCUUUGUCCAAAUUCUGAGCCCGUCAUCAAAGCAAGCCCAAGUCCAUGCAAGAAGGCCCUCCAGAUCUGUCCAAAUACAAAGCCCAUCAGCAUAUGAAAUCAUGCAAAAGAUCCAAGCCCAACCAAAUGAUGUUCAAGGGAAACCCAAGUAGCUCUGGCUCAUAAUCCAACAGACCCGAAACUCAUUAAUCAUGCUAUCCUUACCUUCUAACUAGCCUCUUCGAUUUCUUUUAUCCUAACAGUGAUUAAUUAGGUGUAACUGUUGAAGCUGGUUAUCCAGAGGUUGUUCACACAGGCAGUGUGACUGGACUUUGUAGUUAGUAUGCUCUAAACAGGCAUGUAUAGCACUCAACUGCAAAAAACUAAUAAAAAUGGUGCCUAUCAUCAAAUUCAUGCCAUAUGGCGGGAUUACUCUACUUCUACUCUAUAAAUAGAAAGAUAUCCUUAAUAAAGAUAUUUAUAACAAUGAUGGGAAAGUUUGCCAUAGCUUUCUAAUUACCCAAUUUGACACUAACACCAUUGGCUACACCACAAGCAUUUUGUGCCUCGAUAUUCACAAUUUGAUGCUAGAGUUAGUUGGGGCAAUGAACUCUAGUCUCCCUGUUGUGACCUCGAUCAAAAUUAUGAGUUGCUCCUCUGUCUAAAUUCAAAGCCGGUCAUCAAAGCAAGCGCAAGUCCAUGCAAGAAGGCCCUCCAAAUCAGUAGAAAUUCAAAGCCCGUCAAAGGCAUAUGAAAUCAUGCAAAGGAUCCGAGCCAAUCCAAAUGAUGUUCAGGGGGCUAAACACAAGUAGCUCUGGCUUAUGAUCCAAGAUACCCAAAGCUCGUCAAUCAUGCUAUCCUAACCUUCUAACUAACCUCUUCGAUUUCGCUUAUCCUAACAGUGAUUGAUUAAGCGUAAUUAUUGAAGCUGGUUAUGCAGACGUUGUUCACACAGGCAAUCUGGCUUCACUUUGUAGUUAAUUUGCUCAUUAAACAGGCAUGUAUAGUACUC